UUUACCCGGUGACCCAAUUGAUGACAUCAUAACCAAAACAGGAAGUGCCGGACCGGCCGCUGCCAUUAAACACGUUCUGGCUGUAGCAUCUAAAGAGACGAACAGCGAUGUUCCUGAAUCAGACGUCUUAAAAACGGAGCGGCCAUGUGUCCGAAACGUCCUGACGCCUCAGAGAGCAGGAGGUUCAGCUGGUUGACGCGUCAAUGAUUGGUGGAGGUGGGACCUGGAUGUGUCCUGCUGUGAGGCACAACACCUGGGAUUUGAACCCGUGACCUCGCUGUGAGUGCUGCUGAUGAAGCCUCGCGGUCACCUGCAGGAUCAGCGCCGACAGACAGACCCACAAGUCUUCAUUUCCUGUUUCGCCUUAAACCAACUAUUUCCAAUCUUUGGGAAAAAAAAAUGCUACCUGUUUUCAGGUAAUAUGAUAAACAAACACGGAGGUCAGCAAAAGGUCAGAUUUUAAAAUCCAGGAAGGAGACGGGUAUCCAGAUUUAAAGCGACAUCACUCCCAUUUUUAUCACCGGUUUUUCAGUUUUCUUGUGGAUUCCCCUCACAGACAAAAAGCAUUUAGAGCAUGUGUCAAACUCAAGGCUCGGGGGCCAAAUCUAGCCCGCUGUAGGUUUUUAUGUGGCCCUCUAGACUGAAUUACAUCAAUAAAUCCCUCCAGUUUUCCACAAAUCUGCAAAAUUCACACAGAAUCAACAAAUCUCCACAUUUUGUUCUGCAAAUUUUUCUCCAAAUUGGUCAAAACGUUGAGUUUAAAUCACCUCAGAUUUACUUAACGUCAAGUAACAAGAAGUCACAUGUAACAUCAAACAUUAGUGCAAAUAUCAUAAAAACUCCUCA